GUCGAACGAUGAACCGGUUUCGGCCGGGGAUUAGUGGCGAACGGGUGAGUAACACGUGGGCAAUCUGCCCUGCACUCUGGGACAAGCCCUGGAAACGGGGUCUAAUACCGGAUACGACGCGUUCCCGCAUGGGAUACGUGUGGAAAGCUCCGGCGGUGCAGGAUGAGCCCGCGGCCUAUCAGCUUGUUGGUGGGGUGAUGGCCUACCAAGGCGACGACGGGUAGCCGGCCUGAGAGGGCGACCGGCCACACUGGGACUGAGACACGGCCCAGACUCCUACGGGAGGCAGCAGUGGGGAAUAUUGCACAAUGGGCGCAAGCCUGAUGCAGCGACGCCGCGUGAGGGAUGACGGCCUUCGGGUUGUAAACCUCUUUCAGCAGGGAAGAAGCGUGAGUGACGGUACCUGCAGAAGAAGCGCCGGCUAACUACGUGCCAGCAGCCGCGGUAAUACGUAGGGCGCAAGCGUUGUCCGGAAUUAUUGGGCGUAAAGAGCUCGUAGGCGGCUUGUCGCGUCGGAUGUGAAAGCCCGGGGCUUAACUCCGGGUCUGCAUUCGAUACGGGCAGGCUAGAGUUCGGUAGGGGAGAUCGGAAUUCCUGGUGUAGCGGUGAAAUGCGCAGAUAUCAGGAGGAACACCGGUGGCGAAGGCGGAUCUCUGGGCCGAUACUGACGCUGAGG
rnacentral:rRNA from 1 species